GACGUAGGGCGCGAGCGUUGUCCGGAUUUAUUGGGCGUAAAGAGCUCGUAGGCGGCUUGUCGCGUCGACUGUGAAAUCCCGCGGUUCAACUGCGGGUCUGCAGUCGAUACGGGCAGACUAGAGGUAUGCAGGGGAGAACGGAAUUCCUGGUGUAGCGGUGAAAUGCGCAGAUAUCAGGAGGAACACCGAUGGCGAAGGCAGGUCUCUGGGCAUUAACUGACGCUGAGGAGCGAAAGCAUGGGGAGCGAACAGG
rnacentral:rRNA from 1 species